UGCUACUUGACAUUGCCGUGAUUUCAAUAGU
rnacentral:piRNA from 1 species